rnacentral:sRNA from 2 species
CACCUGUAAACGCCGAAUUUCUUUUAAAAGAAACCGGGGGAACCAUAUUCUUGGGGUUAAUCCCGCUUCCAGUAUACACCUCUCGUCUUUGUCCGGAGCCGGGCAACGGUGGGAGAAAGACCGGGAGCGGCGUAGGGCACUUCCAGCCCGCACCCGUCAGCUAACCCCGGAGGCGUUGGAAGGGAGGUGGA